CUGGCGGCAGGCCUUAUACAUGCAAGUCGAGCGCAUCCUUCGGGAUGAGCGGCGGACGGGUGAGUAACGCGUGGGAAUGUGCCCUUCUCUACGGAAUAGCCACUGGAAACGGUGAGUAAUACCGUAUACGCCCUCAGGGGGAAAGAUUUAUCGGAGAAGGAUCAGCCCGCGUUAGAUUAGGUAGUUGGUGGGGUAAUGGCCUACCAAGCCUACGAUCUAUAGCUGGUUUUAGAGGAUGAUCAGCCACACUGGGACUGAGACACGGCCCAGACUCCUACGGGAGGCAGCAGUAGGGAAUCUUGGACAAUGGGGGCAACCCUGAUCCAGCCAUGCCGCGUGAGUGAAGAAGGCCCUAGGGUCGUAAAGCUCUUUCGCCUGUGAUGAUAAUGACAGUAGCAGGUAAAGAAACCCCGGCUAACUCCGUGCCAGCAGCCGCGGUAAUACGGAGGGGGUUAGCGUUGUUCGGAAUUACUGGGCGUAAAGCGCGCGUAGGCGGAUUGGAAAGUUGGGGGUGAAAUCCCGGGGCUCAACCCCGGAACUGCCUUCAAAACUCCCAGUCUAGAGUUCGAGAGAGGUGAGUGGAAUUCCGAGUGUAGAGGUGAAAUUCGUAGAUAUUCGGAAGAACACCAGUGGCGAAGGCGGCUCACUGGCUCGAUACUGACGCUGAGGUGCGAAAGUGUGGGGAGCAAACAGGAUUAGAUACCCUGGUAGUCCACACCGUAAACGAUGAAUGCCAGUCGUCGGAUAGUAUACUAUUCGGUGACACACCUAACGGAUUAAGCAUUCCGCCUGGGGAGUACGGUCG
rnacentral:rRNA from 1 species